rnacentral:rRNA from 1 species
CGUUUUGAAGCCUACUCUAAGCCCGAUACAACACUCUAACAACCUCAUAAAAAUAAACUUUUUUCCCUAACUAAAACAUUCAUACCCUUAGUAUAGGCGAUAGAAAAGGACCUUCAUUGGCGCUAUAGAGACUUUUGUACCGUAAGGGAAAGAUGAAAUAAUAAUGAAACCUCAAGCCAAAAACAGCAAAGAUUAACCCUUGUACCUUUUGCAUCAUGGUUCAGCUAGAAAUAAUCAAGCAAAGCGAACUUAAGCUUGUCACCCCGAAACCCGAGCGAGCUACUCACAAGCAGCUACCCUGAGCGAACCCGUCUCUGUUGCAAAAGAGUGGGAUGACUUGUUAGUAGUGGUGAAAAGCCAAACGAGCCGGGUGAUAGCUGGUUGCCUGUGAAAAGAAUAUAAGUUCAUCCCUGAUUAUCCUCACAAACCCACUAACAUACUUCACAUGUAAGUACUCAGGAGCAAUUUAAAGGAGGUACAGCUCCUUUAAAACAGGAUACAACCUCUACCAGCGGAUAAUUCAUUUUCAUCUACUUAACUGUCGGCCUUAAAGCAGCCACCAUCAAAGAGUGCGUCAAAGCUCCCUAAAAAAAAUAUGUAUCUUCCAUGAAUCCCUCACCACUAACAGGCCAACCUAUAAUUAUAGGAGAAUUAAUGCUGAAAUAAGUAACCUGGACUAUUCCUCUUAAGCGCAAACUUACAUCCCAACAUUAUUACUCAAAGCAUGAUACUUACACAACGCAAGCACACCAUAUCACAACCCACUGUUAAACCUACUCAGGUGCGCCUACUAGAAAACCCAAAUUUGUAGAAGGAACUAGGCAAACUCAAGGCCCGACUGUUUACCAAAAACAUAGCCUUCAGCCCACCAAGUAUUGAAGGUGAUGCCUGCCCAGUGACCCCGCGUUUAACGGCCGCGGUAUCCUAACCGUGCGAAGGUAGCGCAAUCAAUUGUCCCAUAAAUUGAGACUUGUAUGAAUGGCUAAACGAGGUCUUAACUGUCUCCUACAAAUGGUUAGUGAAAUUGAUCUCCCUGUACAAAAGCAGGAAUAAAGACAUUAGACGAGAAGACCCUGUGGAACUUAAAAAUCAAUGGCCACCGCAUAAAUAACCUAAACCUACCUAGGCUCCUCUUAAUCUCAUGCACUAAUGGCCUCAAUUUUUUGGCUGGGGCGGCCCUGGAGUAAAACAAAACCUCCAGAAAUAAGACUCCACCUCUUAACCUAGAGCAACUCCUCAACGUACUAAUAGUUACCAGACCCAGUAAAACUGACCAAUGAACCAAGCUACCCCAGGGAUAACAGCGCAAUCCCCUUCAAGAGCCCAUAUCGACAAGGGGGUUUACGACCUCGAUGUUGGAUCAGGACAUCCUAAUGGUGCAGCCGCUAUUAAGGGUUCGUUUGUUCAACGAUUAAUAGUCCUACGUGAUCUGAGUUCAGACCGGAGUAAUCCAGGUCGGUUUCUAUCUAUGAUAAAUUUUUCCCAGUACGAAAGGACCGGAAAAAUAAGGCCCAUACUACCAGCACGCCUUACCUUUAAGCAAUGAAUUCAACUCAACUGCUAAAAGGACCUAUACUACCAUCCUAGAAAAGGAUA